UGAGGUGGUUACAGAUGGGUAUGCGUCCUAUUAGCUAGUUGGUAAGGUAACGGCUUACCAAGGCGACGAUAGGUAGGGGUCCUGAGAGGAAGAUCCCCCACACUGGAACUGAGACACGGUCCAGACUCCUACGGGAGGCAGCAGUGAGGAAUAUUGGACAAUGGAUGGAAAUCUGAUCCAGCCAUGCCGCGUGCAGGAAGACGGCCCUAUGGGUUGUAAACUGCUUUUAUACGGGAGCAAUAAGGUCUACGAGUAGGCCGAUGAGAGUACCGUAGGAAUAAGCACCGGCUAACUCCGUGCCAGCAGCCGCGGUAAUACGGAGGAUGCAAGCGUUAUCCGGAUUCAUUGGGUUUAAAGGGUGCGUAGGCGGCUUUUUAAGUCAGUGGUGAAAUCCUGCCGCUUAACGGUAGAAUUGCCAUUGAUACUGAAAAGCUUGAGUACAUUUGAGGUAAGCGGAAUGUGUAGUGUAGCGGUGAAAUGCUUAGAUAUUACACAGAACACCAAUUGCGAAGGCAGCUUACUAAACUGAUACUGACGCUGAUGCACGAAAGCGUGGGGAGCGAACAGGAUUAGAUACCCUGGUAGUCCACGCCGUAAACGAUGUCAACUAGGUGUUGGGACGGUUACAGCUCUGUGCCAAGCGAAAGCAUUAAGUGAGCCACCUGGGGAGUACGAUCGCAAGGUUGAAACUCAAAGGAAUUGACGGGGGCCCGCACAAGCGGAGGAACAUGUGGUUUAAUUCGAUGAUACGCGAGGAACCUUACCCGGGCUCGAACGGUGCAGGAAUAUGGUAGAGAUAUCAUAGCUAGCAAUAGUCUGUAUCGAGGUGCUGCAUGGUUGUCGUCAGCUCGUGCCGUGAGGUGUCGGGUUAAGUCCCAUAACGAGCGCAACCCUUAUCGUUAGUUGCCAGCGGAUCAUGCCGGGGACUCUAGCGAGACUGCCACCGUAAGGUGUGAGGAAGGUGGGGAUGACGUCAAAUCAGCACGGCCCUUAUGUCCAGGGCUACACACGUGUUACAAUGGCCGAUACAAAGGGCAGCUACCAGGUGACUGGAUGCUAAUCUCCAAAGUCGGUCUCAGUUCGGAUCGAAGUCUGCAACCCGACUUCGUGAAGCUGGAUUCGCUAGUAAUCGCAUAUCAGCCAUGAUGCGGUGAAUACGUUCCCGGGCCUUGUACACACCGCCAG
rnacentral:rRNA from 1 species